rnacentral:lncRNA from 1 species
CUUCCAAGCGGUGUGCCCAAGAAGCUAUGGACAGACAUAGGCACUGAGUUUUACAACAAACAUAUAAAUCAGCUGCUUCAAAAGCAUGUUAUCGAUCUCUACUCCACCGGGAACGAAGAGAAAUCGAGUAUUUUCAAACAUUGGAGCCGCACCAUGAAAGAGAAAAUGUUCAAAUACUUUUCAGCCAACUCCACACGCACC